CAGUCGCCGCGGGAAAACGUAGGUGGCAAGCGUUGUCCGGAAUUAUUGGGCGUAAAGGGCUCGCAGGCGGUUUCUUAAGUCUGAUGUGAAAGCCCCCGGCUCAACCGGGGAGGGUCAUUGGAAACUGGGAAACUUGAGUGCAGAAGAGGAGAGUGGAAUUCCACGUGUAGCGGUGAAUGCGUAGAGAUGUGGAGGAACACCAGUGGCGAAGGCGACUCUCUGGUCUGUAACUGACGCUGAGGAGCGAAAGCGUGGGGAGCGAACAGGAUUAGAUACCCCGGUAGUCCCUGUCUCUUAUACA
rnacentral:rRNA from 1 species